CCUACGGGAGGCAGCAGUGGGGAAUAUUGCACAAUGGGGGGAACCCUGAUGCAGCAAUGCCGCGUGGGUGAAGAAGCACUCCGGUGCGUAAAGCCCUGUCAGCAGUGAAGAAAAUGACAGUAACUGGACAAGACGCCCCGGCUAACUACGUGCCAGCAGCCGCGGGAAACAGUAGGGGGCAAGCGUUAUCCGGCUUUACUGGGGGUAAAGGGAGCGCAGGCGGCGUGGCAAGUCAGAUGUGAAAACCCGGGGACCAACCCCGGGAGUGCAUUUGAAACUGCCAUGCUGGAGUGCCGGAGAGGUAAGCGGAAUUCCUAGUGGAGCGGUGAAAUGCGUAGAUAUUAGGAGGAAAACCAGGGGCGGAGGCGGCUUACUGGACGGUAACUGACGCUGAGGCUCGAAAGCGUGGGGAGCAAACAGGAUUAGAUACCCUGGUAGUC
rnacentral:rRNA from 1 species